rnacentral:rRNA from 8 species
CCUUGAAAUACCACCCUUUAAUGUUUGAUGUUCUAACGUGGACCCGUGAUCCGGGUUGCGGACAGUGUCUGGUGGGUAGUUUGACUGGGGCGGUCUCCUCCUAAAGAGUAACGGAGGAGCACGAAGGUUGGCUAAUCCUGGUCGGACAUCAGGAGGUUAGUGCAAUGGCAUAAGCCAGCUUGACUGCGAGCGUGACGGCGCGAGCAGGUGCGAAAGCAGGUCAUAGUGAUCCGGUGGUUCUGAAUGGAAGGGCCAUCGCUCAACGGAUAAAAGGUACUCCGGGGAUAACAGGCUGAUACCGCCCAAGAGUUCAUAUCGACGGCGGUGUUUGGCACCUCGAUGUCGGCUCAUCACAUCCUGGGGCUGAAGUAGGUCCCAAGGGUAUGGCUGUUCGCCAUUUAAAGUGGUACGCGAGCUGGGUUUAGAACGUCGUGAGACAGUUCGGUCCCUAUCUGCCGUGGGCGCUGGAGAACUGAGGGGGGCUGCUCCUAGUACGAGAGGACCGGAGUGGACGCAUCACUGGUGUUCGGGUUGUCAUGCCAAUGGCACUGCCCGGUAGCUAAAUGCGGAAGAGAUAAGUGCUGAAAGCAUCUAAGCACGAAACUUGCCCCGAGAUGAGUUCUCCCUGAGACUUUAGGUCUCCUGAAGGAACGUUGAAGACGACGACGUUGAUAGGCCGGGUGUGUAAGCGCAGCGAUGCGUUGAGCUAACCGGUACUAAUGAACCGUGAGGCUUAACCUUACA